GGCCGUUUCUCCUCGUCCCGUCGCUGGGCACCACCGAAAAGAGCGUGGCACCGUCCUCUGACACCCGCCUUGGAGAAAUUUAUGUGUGUAGGUGAGAUCCCCGCUCAGCCUUCUCUCCUCCAGACUAAACAGGCCCAGCUCCCACAAUCUCUCCUCGUACGAGAGAUGCUCUUUAAUAAAGAUGGAUCUUUAUUUAAAUUCGUUGCAAGGCUUCUGUUGAGGCUCUGGUGGACUUUGCGGGCAGUGGCCUGAUGCUUGUAAAGGGGCAGAGCCCUGGGCUGCUCCUGUGCCCCAGGGCAAGGAGGGGUGUCUGUGACAAGUGCGUCGCCAAUUUCCACAAGUGGAUUUAAGCCCCUGCUCACCACCUUUGAAUAAUUCCCCUGUGGCAAUGUGGAGUUACUGUUUUCUUCUUUUCUGCCCAGGUACAGAAAAAAGAACAUUCUCCCAGGAACUCUGCAGCACAUGUUUCGUCCUUUGGAGCCUGUGACAUUCCCAUGGCUGUUCUUGGUAGUUCAGUGGAAGUGCAUUAGGGAUUAUGUUUUCCACUGACCUCAAAUACUUCAGGCACUUUUGUUGCAGGCCACCUUGAAGAUAUGCUUUAGAGAUCAUAGUAAAUCAGGCCCUGUAAUUCACUAAUGUAAUUCACUAGUCAGAUUCUUGGAGCAUGGAAACCAUGAAGAAGAAAGGGUGAGGAGUUGUGUGUAUGGAGUGUGAGCGCAGAGGGAGGAUUACAGGGAAGAGCAAAGAGCACACAGCAUGGGCAGCCAUAGGCUUAGUGCCCAAGUAGGUCACAGCUGGGAUGGAUUUUGACUUUGAGGCACAGUAUAAAGGAGUAGGUUAAUCCAGGAGGCAUCUGUAUGACUGCAUGAGAAGACUGCAUAUAUGUUACUGGAAGAGUUUCCUGGUUUCUAAGCCUGUGCAUCUUGUCUUCCUCUGGAUUUCAAGUUGGUUUGGACAGAAGUGCACACCAGGAGUUUCUUCUCACCCCUACUCCACAAUCUGGCUUCUGUGCAAAGGCAUCAGAGGUGUGCUGGCUGAACAGAGGUGUAGCACACACCAUUGACUCCCUUGGGUGGGUAUGUACAGGAACAGGAUUCUGGGCAGCACACCAGCAGGAAAAGCAACCUCAGAAAAAACCAGACUCUCUCUCCCAAACCAAGGCACACAAACUCACUCCUUACAUUUGAAAAUGCAGACUCCGCACGUCACACUAACUGUUGAACUGCACUUCAUUAAGUGUCUCAACAGCAGUGGGUGGUGUCUACUCUCCCAACUUUGUAUGUGCACUCUGAUCAUGCAGCCACGUCACUCCUCCCUCAUUUCACAGCUUCUCUCUGCAAUAGGAUUUAUAAGAUACUGUAGAGAAUUUAUUAUUUUCUCCAUCAAAAUUUUACAUGGUUGCAGUUGUUCUUCUGUAAUGUUUCUUCUUAUUGAUGAGUUAGGAGAUUUAAACACCGAAUGGUCACUGCCAGCAGGCACUCCCAUCAGUGUUGUGUGGCUCGUUUUGGGUUAGGCGAGUUUCAUGGGCAGUUUCUGUGGCUUUUGGGAACUCUCUCUCCUAGAGAAGGAAUGAAGUUUGACUUGAAAGGUGGGGAUUGUUUCAGGGAAAGAAACUGGUUUCAAGUGUGCUGUUUGUGUGUAUUGUACCGUGAUUAAUAAAAACAAGGGGUUACAUUUCUCAUCGUCCCUUUCUAUCAUAUUUCACAUGUUUUGAAGCACAAACCCACAUGGCACAGCUGUCAAGCAAAUGGGAAAUCAAGAUAUCCCACACCUUUUUCUGCUCCUGAAUUUCCAUUUCCUUCUUUUCCCCCUUGCUCUUCUUCUGUUACUGGUUUGUUUAAAUGAUGUUCUCUGCAAGGCAGGACAAGGAAUUUCAUUGUCUCUGUAAAAUACUUAGCACUUCAACUUGACCAAAAUAAAAUAUAGCUGUACCCCUAAAUACAGUAUCACAGAGAUUAACGAGCUCCGUAACUGCAAAAGAAGUAGCAGUGGAUUUGUGAGGAAUUGGAUCCUGUGUCUCAGGUCUCUCAAGGAGUGAGAAGGGUAAUUAAACCCUGGCUCGUUGUUAUAACAUUAAAUCCUAAAACAUGAUGUCAGUCUUUGGGUCCCUACUGGGACAACCCUUAUUGAAAUUCUUUCAAAUAUUUAAGCAGCAGGAUAAAGGAAGGAAAGCAGUUAAAGUGUAUCCCUAAUUGCCUUAUGUUUUGAUGGAAUGUCCAUUACAGGGAGAACUCCACCUUUGAAAAUGUUCCUGCUGAGCUUGAAAAUUGUAUCAACCAUCCUAUCUGGGGGAGGCAGAGAGAGAAAGGAAUAUAAACAGAAAGAAUGGUGUUGAUGAAAGGAAAUAAUCACCAGCAGGCAAGGGUGUGAUAGGAGGACAAUAAAACUCCUAUGCCAGGUUUUGGCCAGGAUGAAGACAAAACCAGCAGUAGUGUCCACAGUGCAAUUUGAUUCCCCCUCUCCAGUGUUGUGUGACUGUUUGAUGGCCUGUAAGAUAAUGGGGGCCCAGGGGUACCGUGGGAGAUCCUGGGAUACCAGGAUUUGCUAGCAAUAACAGUCAUGAAUGUAAAAUGUCUUGUAUCCUUUAAUUCACAUAAAAUCCAAAUAAAGAUCUUCCAUGAAAAA